CAGUCGCCAUUACUGUGUCAAUAGGUUACGAGUAUCUAGAAAAGAUUACCCCAUAAUCUUUAAUAUCCAACAGUACGAUUGUUUCAAGUUUCUUACGGAGUAAUUAAAAAGUGACAUAAAAAUGUACAAUGAGUCAAGGCAGUACCAAAGUCAAUAGCAGUAUUGUUCGAGCGAAGUAUCAAGCUAUUAAAGAAUUGUAUUAACCUUAUUAAAGUGAUGCAUCCACUUGGUUAACAUCGUCCUUGACUUUUUGAGGAUUGUUUUGGUUAAGAUCAAUUACACUGCAGCACCGAAGCUUCAGGGACUAAAGGGACUCGUGAGGAAUCUUAUUUAAAUUCGAGAAAAAAUGAGUGACGAUUCACGUCCACCGAGUUUUUCACGUGUACGACAAAUUUCUCGAAAGGUUCGGCCUCCUGUUAAAUUGAAAAAGGAAUCGAUACGACCACCUACCAUCAAUGAAAUUAUUUUUCAUCGACGAAAUGUCCCGAGAUCACGUUAUUACUUCACGAGCGGACAUGAGCAUUGUGGAAAACCAAGAGACGUUAAUACCGAGCAGUCGCCAUAUGCAAUUCCACCAAAUUCAAGUUUGUUCAGUUAUGCUCAAUAUUGCAAGGGUCGAAAGCAGCGAUCUUUUCGCGAGCCCGAAAAGCCAACCUACAAAACAGGCAAGAGCCAAGAAACACGUGGCACGUGCGACAUCUUGAAAAGGCUGCAGGUGCAGGUGGAGAUUGAAGAGGAUGAAGCAAAGGUCCAUAAGGACAUGGAUAAAGCGAACGCCAUGACCGACAUAGAUCCUGAGUAUUUUACAGAAUUGCGUGGAAGAGUGAUCAAGGAUCGUUCAUCGUUGAAAAAAUAUGUUGAUGAUAUAAGGGAGGUCCUUAGGACUAGAUUACUUGCUGGACAGGAGAAAGAUGACUGUAUACGUAUAGAUCAGCAAUUUAAUGAGGAGCAAAAACGAUUGGAUAAGAUAAAAAGGAGGUAUCGACAGUAUGUAACUGGAUUUGAGGAAUUCCUAUCUAAAGAUCAUGAACAGAGUAUGGAGGUCCUACGCAAAGCUGAGGAACAAACUAAUAUCACCGAUGAGUGCAGUGCUAAGAGAAACCAAUUGUCCAAGGCUUAUGGUCAGAUCAGGCUGGACGUUUACUUCUGGGAAGAGGCAUGGAGGAUGGUGAAGAUGUGUCAGAAAUUUUUGUACCAAGUCUCACCUUUAUCUUGGAGAAUUCAGCAUGAUUUGGCGCACAGGAAUCAGAAUGAAUUGGUAUCGGCCCAGGAUGAUGAUCUUUUUAGUCGGUACAAGAUGGCGGAUCAGGUGGCAUCCCUCGACUCGUUGAUAGAAUUAUUUGAGCAGGAUAUCGCGGAUGCUGAACCACCUCAGUUGUACUUUGAAGAUCCUCAGGACUUGCUGAAGGUUUUCAGGGCGAUGGAACUCCAAAAUCUGAAUGCCUUGAUGCACCUUGAAUCUUUAGCAGGACCCAUGGCCGCCAUUGCUACCACCAUUACGGAAGCUGAGAAUCAGAUCAAAAGUGAAAUACGAGAGAUCGUUGAAGGAAUCGAAGAUCUAGAGGCGGCCAUUAGCUGGAAGGAGUCAAGAGCAGCUAGUUUGGAGGAGUACGCGAAUUAUCUUCUCUACGGUAUAUUCCGCAACUUGGUGUGUUCAGAACCUGUUCUCAAUAUACGUGUCUUCAUCGAGGACACCUACGAAAGCUGUGUAGCACCAAACGACGCCAACCUGGACAGCUACACGAUGAUGCGUUCAAUCGAGAAGGUACAUGAGGAAUUGAAUAUGCAGUUGGAUAACCUACCCCACGAAGUAGUGCAGACAUGCGAAAAGGAAGGUUUCCGGCAGGAAAUGAAAGCCAUGAAGGAAGCCGAGGACGCAGCCAGGAAGUUUGAACUCAUGCAUAGACUAUUGGCUGCAUUGCAACAUAUAAUGGAACCACCGAAACCAAAGAAAAGAUCUUUGGUUAAGCGUUCAGCUCCCAUCGAGCCUAAAAUUAAAGAAAUGCCGCCAGCGCCACCACCGACUGACGAGGAAAUGCAAAUACUAACCUUCUUCACGGGUUACUGCCCUCAGGAAAACUAUGAAAAUUAUCGGAAUCAGUUUCCCGAUGAUUUUGACUUAACUUUUAGAAGUCGCGGGUACGAUCUUCAUGAAAAUAUUUCUCAGACGGAUAACAAAGAUUGCCGUAUUCAGCAUGCAAUUAACCUACCAAACUGAUCAAUAAUAUAUACGUAUGGUACUUUCAAUAUAUCCAAAUUUCUUUAAAAGUCUUUCAGUAAUCGAUGUGACGGCUGGGAAAAUUUUUGACAAAAUUUCAUUAAAUAUUAAAUUGAAUAUUUCACGGCUGAGAUGUAGCUAUUAAGUCUAAAGACGAUAAAUGAUUCACCGUGGCACGUCAUUCAAAUUUAAAAUAAACGUCACAAGUUGUUAAUCCAUACAUUGGUGCGAUACACUUAUAUUAAUGAAAACGAAUCUAUAUCGAGGUCGUUAAAGUAAUAUUAUUGAUGUUGAUUUAAGUUCCCCAGUUUAAAGCCGAUAUCUACAUAACUGUAGAAUAAAAGUUUCGUCGUCUCAUGCGGGUGGUAAUAAACUCAUUGAGGAAUAUGAAAUUGCAACAAACCACAGUUGAGUGCUAUUUACACUUUUAGUUUGGCGAACAGCUAGUGAAUAAGGUUAUGUACACUAGCGAGCAAUAAUGGCCUUCUUGUUACAGUGUAAUAACAUUUGAUUUAAAGUAGUAUUUUCGAGGACCAUUUGGCUUCCUUUUUACAUCUCAUGUCCUCGUUAGAAACAUGUGCUUUCUGCUAUGUCCUGAAUGACCAGUGCUAAUCCAUUAUAUAUUUUACAUUGCCUUUCAGUUCUUGAAAAUGUAACACAAGUUGCGAUUAAUUUUACUUUAGUCUGUAAUAGAAAAAAAAAUAGUAAUGGCGCCAAGUUCCACGUGGCUUCGUGGGCGUUCCGGAUCUCGUCGAGACGCGACAAACAAAACUGACUAAUGAGGGUCGCGAUACGACAACAACGAGCUGCUGAUUAAUAAAAAGUAAAAAAAGGGAAAUGACGGGGACGCGCCUCUAUUGAACGAGACUAUAGGGGUCGUCAUUGAAGUUGCCCUCUAAAGGGAAGGCAGAAUGACUGAUAAGAGGAUAUAAAGGGUAGAAUAGGGAUGUAAAAAAAAAAGAAAUCUCACGUACGGUUGCACAGUCUACUCAGUCCAUACAGUAUGAAGCAAAAUGCACACCAAAGAAUAUCUACAUAAUAUAACACAGAGCAGCAGGAAAAAAAUUAUCUCAACAAUCACUGAAAUUAAGUACAUUAAAAUAAGAGAAGAUUUCAUCCUAAAUCUCUGUAAUUUUUCACAAGGAGAAAGGUGACCGAUCAAAGGUCAACCCGAACGAUUACCAAAGGCCAAAUUGUCACCGAUGUUGGAACCAGUGGAUUAAAGGAGUAAUAGAUAAAAAUGCAAAAAACAAAAUGGAGUCCUUACAAAUGCGAGUUCUGCCUCCAUCAUUCUGUUGGUUGGUACACUGGACGGUACGCAUGCUUUUGUGGUACAACUAGUUUUGCCAAGCACUCAAGAGGACAUGCCAUGAAGAAACGUGUACUAGAUAUAUAUCAUUGAUCUACGUGUGAUCUAUGGAUGAUCUAUCCGGCAUGCAUGCGAAUCCACCUGUGGCCUGCAAUUCCAUUGCGCAAUUCCGUGUAGUCAACAGCACUUGUAUUAUGUAUAUAUGCUGUACUAUUGACAUUACCAAUGAUUCAUGUACUGUAUUGUGUUGUUAUGACAUAACAAGACCAUAAAUGCCUUUAACCAUAUGUAUAUGGAUCAGGAAGAUGACGACUGUAAGAAUAAAAAUGGAGUGUCAA